AUGCAGCCGAGCGGUAGAGUUUCUUCGGAACUUGAGAGCGGCGUACGGGUGCGGAACACGUGUGCAACCUGCCUUUAUCAGGGGGAUAGCCUUUCGAAAGGAAGAUUAAUACCCCAUAAUAUUUAGAAUGGCAUCAUUUUAAAUUGAAAACUCCGGUGGAUAGAGAUGGGCACGCGCAAGAUUAGAUAGUUGGUGAGGUAACGGCUCACCAAGUCUACGAUCUUUAGGGGGCCUGAGAGGGUGAUCCCCCACACUGGUACUGAGACACGGACCAGACUCCUACGGGAGGCAGCAGUGAGGAAUAUUGGACAAUGGGUGAGAGCCUGAUCCAGCCAUCCCGCGUGAAGGAUGACGGCCCUAUGGGUUGUAAACUUCUUUUGUAUAGGGAUAAACCUACUCUCGUGAGAGUAGCUGAAGGUACUAUACGAAUAAGCACCGGCUAACUCCGUGCCAGCAGCCGCGGUAAUACGGAGGGUGCAAGCGUUAUCCGGAUUUAUUGGGUUUAAAGGGUCCGUAGGCUGAUCUGUAAGUCAGUGGUGAAAUCUCACAGCUUUAACUGUGAAACUGCCAUUGAUACUGCAGGUCUUGAGUGUUAUUGAAGUAACCUGGAA
rnacentral:rRNA from 1 species